rnacentral:ncRNA from 1 species
ACCAAAAAUGCUCGCUUCUGAAUAGGACCAAGCCAGGGGAAACUCUGGUGGAGGCUCGUAGCGAUUCUGACGUGCAAGGCAAUCGUCGAAUUUGGGUAUAGGGGUGAAAGACUAAUCGAAGCUAGUAGCUGG